AUGUAUUGAAAUUUUUCAUUAAUUGGAACAUUUACUUACGGAUACGAACUUCGCCAAGGUUCUCGUAUUGAUUCUUUCCUCGUUCGUUGAUUUUCAAGUAACUCAUAAUUGUUCAAGAUUUUCUAAAUGUUUUGAGAAGUAUUCUUUAUUAAUUAUUCUUGCUCUGCGUAAAAGAGGUACGAUUAUUAAUCGAGUAAUGUGACUUCUGUUUAUGUUUAUAUAGCAACGGUUGAUAAGAAAAUAAAUGUGUAUUGUAUAUGCUGCACAGCAGGAUGUUGGCGAUUCGCUGUGAAAUGAGUCAAAUGAGUGUAGAAGAACCUUAGAAAAUGCCGCAUAUAUUUCAAAUAUUCAAACAAUAGUAUUUUAGAUUAUGUAUAUGUAUCUACAUACAUAUUUGCACCUACUACUACUUCUAGUAGCCUAAAGUUUAUAGUAAAGUAUAGUAACUACUAUACUAAAUGAAUGAGCAUAAUAAAUUGUGCUCGUAACUGGACUGAAUUCGAGAUGAAAAGUGACUUACUAUGUAUUUGAUUAAAAUAUUUCCCAAAUUGGAAACACGAAUUGUUUCUAAUCUCUGGUUGAUUCAAUACACCGAAAGACACAGCAGAAUAAAAUGAUUGAUUUUCAUAACCUUCGUCAUCUUCGGAGCUAUGCACUGUUUUUCGAAUAUCCCCGCUAGCACGAUAACCCAUUACUGUUUUUACUUAAAUUUGUGAAAAUAUUGUAAUUGCAACACGUUGUGUUUGUAAAUUAUAUGUUUCCGUUAAACUGGUAAAUUUAUAGGUGACUUGGGGUUUCAAAAUAACUCAAAUACUAUUCAGAGCCAUUUGGAAUGAUAGGUUCUUUUUUUGUUGUAGAAAUGCAAUUUCUACUACUUUUUGAAAUUUCACUCGUGUACAAGAUUAAUGGAAAUAUUUUGUUGUUAUUUAAAAUGUUUUUAUUACAUUUUUGCCAAAACAAAAACCUAUUUCAAUGAGUUCUUAUUUUUGUAAAGCAAUGGUGUAUUAAUAAUUCAAUGUAUUAAAUUCACUGUACAUUUACAAUACCAUACCGGUAUGUUAUAAAAACAAAUGAAACAAAUUUUAUAUAUUCGGUGCAAAAUAUCCUGUUUUGUUCUUCAUUGCUAUAAGAAAGUAAUUGAAUAAAAUUGAAGUCAUUGUUUUGUCUUAUAAA